rnacentral:rRNA from 1 species
UACGGGGGGAGCAAGCGUUGUUCGGAUUUACUGGGCGUAAAGGGCGCGUAGGCGGUAGCACAAGUCAGUUGUGAAAUCUCCGGGCUUAACUCGGAAAGGUCAACUGAUACUGUGCGACUAGAGUGCAGAAGGGGCAACUGGAAUUCUCGGUGUAGCGGUGAAAUGCGCAGAUAUCGAGAGGAACACCUGCGGCGAAGGCGGGUUGCUGGGCUGACACUGACGCUGAGACGCGAAAGCGUGGGGAGCAAACAGG